AGAAAUGGCAUUCUUUAUUCAUAAAUAAAUCACAGAAUUACCAGAAAUAGUUUACAUGACCAAAAAGUGACAUCAAAAAUAAAAUAAGAAGUCACCGAAAGCAAUGCAAAGCAAACCAGAAACAGAGAAAAAUAACUAUGUACAGCGUCUUCAAAGGGCCAGGCACCCAAAGCCAGCUUCUGCCAGGCUCCAGCUUUGCCAGAGACAGCACAGAGGGCAGGUGCCAUGGCCUUUGGGAGGGCAGGGCCACAGGGAACCCCCGGCCGGAGGCUGCUGCUCCCAUGGCCCAGCCUGGCUUCUCCUUGGGCAGCGCUGUCACCUGAGAUGGCCCUGGCUGGGGUCAGGGACACAGCUCAGUGGAUGCCUUCUGGGGAGAUCUGCCAAUCGCUGGCCCCCACCCUCGCUCAGUGCCAUGGGGGCUAAGUGCACCUGGCUGGAGCUCACAGAACACACCCAGGAGGUGCCCGUGGGGUUUGGUAGCCCUGAUACCCAAAGUGACCCCCUCCGUGGAGAGGGGGUGCUGAUGCUCUCUGCGGAGACCAGAGCACCAUCAGGCCCAGACCUUUUGGGGAGCAGACAGUAUAGGUCUAAGUGAGCAAGCACCCCCAGGCCGCCUUGCUGAGCUCAGCCUCCCCAGGCCCUGCUUGGCCUCUGCUGCCCACAGCCUCCCUUCAGAGGCUGGGUUUGGUGCACAGGUCCAGUAAUAGCGAGGGUGCUUUCCGAUGGCAAGGAAGGAAGGAAACACACAGGAAGGUGAGGGGCAGCACCCUUGCAUUCUGGUGCCACCUCGGCCGGGGGGGGGGGCAUGGCCCGGGCAGGUGGAUGUCUGAGAUGGGCAGGGGCCACAGGGCCAUGGAAAGGGAAGGCCUAGCUCCCAGUGAGUGUGUCUGAUGUCUGCCCUGCCCUGCCCAGGGUACACCUGGGGGCAGGGGGCCUCAGGCCAAGGAAGAGCAGCUGGCUCCAUUCUCACUCUCCAUGGGAUCGACUCAAACAAGGUACAGGGCAUGUCUGAUCCAGGUCUGCAGCGUCCCCAGUGGAGGGGACACGGAGGGGCCCUUGAGCCUGGCCAUUCCAGGUUUCAAAGCAACCUGUGACUAAGAACAGUGGAUUGAGACUCCAGGGGAUGCCCCUGUCCUGGGAGCACAGCAGGACAGGCACGGCCUGAGCCAGGGAACAGGUGACUCGGGCCUUAAGGAUGGUGCCCCACUCAGGGUAGGGCUGGAUGCGAGUUCGAGCCCCAUUCCUGCCCGGCCUCUGGGAUCAGCUUGCGGAAAGAAGCCAGGACCGGGGACUGUUCUCGGACCACCAAGUACCUAGACUCUGGUGCAUCUGUCUCUCCUCCACCCUGGGCCCUCUCAGCAGGCAGGCGUGAGGAGCAGGAAUCCAGCAAGGGCUGGCUGUCCUGCCAACGGCAGCUGCAGCUAUGUCAAAAAUAUAACUCGGAGCAGCCUGGCUGCCUGCUAGAUCUGGCUUGCUUCUGAGAAGACCAGAAAAGAAAGAAAGAAAAUUCCCUGAACCAAGCAACUGAGAAACUGCUGUUCUUCCCCCCUUGCUCUGGACAUUUCAAGAGAAAGCCUAACCUUCCACAGGCACUGGCUGUGUCCCUGGACGGCCACUGCUCUUGGCAGGGACUCACAGCCCACGGCUCCUGAGGGCGAGAGGUAGCGGGAGGGCAGUGAUAGCCCCGGCUGUCCAUAAGGCUGUGUGUGCACCCCACACACCCAAGGACGCUGGGCGCCCGUCCCGACCUGGGCAGACCCAGAACUGAGUGCUGAAGAUGUUGUGGGGAGGAGAGGACGCUGACUUGGGCCACAGGUGAGGGGCGAGAUUCCCAGAUCACAAGGCACCCUCAGCCCUAGCUGGCACAUGCAGGAGGCUCCCUGGGGCAGCUGGAAGGCCAGGCCUCAGUGUCCCUGUCCCGGCACCCCACCCAGAGCCUCUGUGUCUAUGGCUUUGAGAGGGGUGGUCACCGAGGCAAAUGUCACCAGAUGUUCAGGGGCUGCACAGCUCAGUUAGAUGUCAGACCCCACUAAUCUGCUGCCGGUCCUCAUUCCUCAGCCCCGCUGUACCCCAGCCGCUCCCCGAGCCCCAUCCCGACCCCUACACCUCCGAGGCCAGAGGAGAAGGGCUCAGGUCGUGAGGACAGAUCAAGGCUUCUGGGCACACAUGGCUUCUUUCUAUUCCCAAGGCAUCCUGAAGUGUCCGGGUCGGGGGUUUGGGGAAGUGACGCAGAAGGGAGCUUCUGUCCUUGGUGUGGCCUUUUGGCCUUCAGGGCAGGCACUCGGUUUCACGGCAGAGGGUCUCUCUCACUUGAGCAGAGGCCAAGGUUCAGGGAGCCCUUAACCGACCACAGGGACCCUGUGCCGUCCCAUCUCGGGGAGAGCUGGGGAGUAGAGCCCAAAGUCCCGUGCUCUGUAGAGUUGGGGAGGAGGGGUCAGAGGAAGGAGGCGAUGUAGUGACCCCUGCCCACAAGCAGCUCCAGGGGCUGAGCUCGGGAGGGCUGAGCUCGGGAGGCCGGAGCUGCUGUGCAGGGCAGAUGGCACGGGGGCCUCCUCGGGAAGACUCAGCC
ensembl:lncRNA